rnacentral:tRNA from 1 species
UGGGAUGGAGCUCAGUGGUAGAGUACUAUGCCCAACAUGCACAAGGCCAUAGGUUUGAUCCCUGGCACCCAAA